rnacentral:rRNA from 1 species
UACGGAGGGUGCAAGCGUUAUCCGGAUUCACUGGGUUUAAAGGGUGCGUAGGCGGGCAGGCAAGUCAGUGGUGAAAUCUUCGAGCUUAACUCGGAAACUGCCGUUGAUACUAUCUGUCUUGAAUACCGUGGAGAUGAGCGGAAUAUGUCAUGUAGCGGUGAAAUGCUUAGAUAUGACAUAGAACACCAAUUGCGAAGGCAGCUCGUUACACGAAUAUUGACUCUGAGGCACGAAAGCGUGGGGAUCAAACAGG